GAAGGGGGCUAGCGUUGCUCGGAAUUACUGGGCGUAAAGGCCGCGUAGGCGGACAGUUUAGUCAGAGGUGAAAGCCCAGGGCUCAACCUUGGAAUUGCCUUUGAUACUGGCUGUCUUGAGUUCGGGAGAGGUGAGUGGAAUGCCGAGUGUAGAGGUGAAAUUCGUAGAUAUUCGGCGGAACACCAGUGGCGAAGGCGACUCACUGGCCCGAUACUGACGCUGAGGCGCGAAAGCGUGGGGAGCAAACAGGAUUAGAUACCCUGGUAGUCCACGCCGUAAACGAUGAGUGCUAGUUGUCGGCAUGCAUGCAUGUCGGUGACGCAGCUAACGCAUUAAGCACUCCGCCUGGGGAGUACGGUCGCAAGAUUA
rnacentral:rRNA from 1 species